rnacentral:rRNA from 1 species
GAUGAACGCUGGCGGCGUGCCUAAUACAUGCAAGUCGAGCGAACCACUUCGGUGGUGAGCGGCGAACGGGUGAGUAACACGUAGGUGAUCUGCCCAUCAGACGGGGACAACGAUUGGAAACGAUCGCUAAUACCGGAUAGGACGAAAGUUUAAAGGUGCUUCUGGCACCGCUGAUGGAUGAGCCUGCUGCGCAUUAGGUAUUGAGUAGAGUAAAGGCCUACAAAGGCGACGAUGCGUAGCCGACCUGAGAGGGUGACCGGCCACACUGGGAGUGGGACACGGCCCAGACUCCUACGGGAGGCAGCAGUAGGGAAUCUUCGGCAAUGGGCGAAAGCCUGACCGAGCAACGCCGCGUGAAUGAUGAAGGCCUUCGGGUUGUAAAAUUCUGUUAUAAGGGAAGAACGACUUUAGUAGGAAAUGGCUAGAGUGUGACGGUACCUUAUGAGAAAGCCACGGCUAACUACGUGCCAGCAGCCGCCGUAA